rnacentral:rRNA from 1 species
UACGAAGGGGGCUAGCGUUGUUCGGAAUCACUGGGCGUAAAGCGCGUGUAGGCGGAUUGUUAAGUCGGGGGUGAAAUCCCGAGGCUCAACCUCGGAACUGCCUUCGAUACUGGCGAUCUUGAGUCCGGGAGAGGUGAGUGGAACUCCGAGUGGAGAGGUGAAAGGCGUAGAUAAUCGGAAGAACAGCAGUGGCGAAGGCGGCUCACUGGCCCGGUACGGACGCUGAUAUGCGAAAGCGUGGGGAGCAAACAGG